CGCGUAGGUAACCUGCCUGGUAGCGGGGGAUAACUAUUGGAAACGAUAGCUAAUACCGCAUAAGAGUAGAUGUUGCAUGACAUUUGCUUAAAAGGUGCAAUUGCAUCACUACCAGAUGGACCUGCGUUGUAUUAGCUAGUUGGUGAGGUAACGGCUCACCAAGGCAACGAUACAUAGCCGACCUGAGAGGGUGAUCGGCCACACUGGGACUGAGACACGGCCCAG
rnacentral:rRNA from 1 species